rnacentral:rRNA from 1 species
AAUGACGGUACUUGAGGAGGAAGCCCCGGCUAACUACGUGCCAGCAGCCGCGGUAAUACGUAGGGGGCUAGCGUUAUCCGGCUUUACGAGGCGUAAAGGGGGCGGAGGGGGUCUUUCAAGUCGGGAGGGAGAGGCUACUGCUCAACCGUAGUAAGCUCUUGAUACGGGGAGACUGGGGUGCCGGGGAGGAGAGUGGAAUUCCUAGUGUAGCGGUGAAAUGCGUAGAUAUUAGGAGGAACACCAGUUGCGAAGGCGGCUCUCUGGACUGUAACUGACGCUGAGGCACGAAAGCGUGGGGAGCAAACAGGAUUAGAUGCCCUGGUAGUCCACGCUGUAAACGAUGAGUACUAGGUGUCGGGGGUUACCCCC